ACACUCUUUCCCUAUGAUUUUCAUGGACAAUGCCUAAAUCGCAUAAGUGAAAUGACUUUAUAUCUUAAUACCAAAACUAUCACAACAACUAAAAUAUUUAACGACACUCUACUAUUAGUUCAAAAUAUACAAUAAGGACUAUCAACUAAGGAUAGGACCAACAUUCUAUGCAAAAACUUUUUUUGACACUCCAAAAUUUGUGGAAUCAUAGUUAAAAGAGAAGCAACACUAAUCUCAAAACAAAGGUUGAAAGGAAUCUAGGUUGAUGAAAUAAGGUAUGCAAUCAAGAAAGAAGCUCAGUUAAUUCAAAUAGGCAAUUGGAAUCAAUGACAGCUAAACUACACUCAAAUGUUGGACUCGCUUAUGAAUUCCAUUCAUUUAAGUAGCAGGCGUAGCAGGAGUAUAAUAUCAUGGGCAGAGCAUGCAUAGAGAAACAUCAUGACUAAAUCAUAAGAGAAAAAAGCAUGAAUUUCGACCAAGUUCAAGCAGAGAAUCCGAGCUAAUGGCAUGCUUGAGGAAUGUUAAUAUAGCACAAACAGGAAGCAUAUUAUUUAUUUGCAAUAAUAAGCAUAAGAUUCCAAUAAACACCUAAACAAGCAAUAAAUUUUACGAAUACCAUCGGAUGAACAAGAGAGAGACAAACUAGGUAUGUAUAGGCGGACUCAAUACUUAAAUUUAUGAAGAUAAUAAAGAUGCUAGCAAUUUGAUCAAGACAAACAAAUCAACUAAAGAUUCGCAACUACGCCUCAAUCAAACAGUAGGCGAGAUUUCAAUAACUCAAAGAAUCUAGUUUAGGUAAUCAUCCAUUUUUCUUAAAUCUAAUAUAAAAAGAAAAAC
rnacentral:lncRNA from 1 species